UGUACCAGUCACUCUUGUUCUUCCUACUGUUUUUUUCCACUUUUUUUUUUUUUUCUCAUUAUGUCCUCAAGCACCCACCUGACUGGGAACUCAGCAAAACCUGGAAGAUUCUAAUGGAGAGGGCCAAUUGAUCCGACAUGAAAGCUCUGGAAAAGACAGCCUCUCUAGUGGAUGUCUGGGAACUGGAUGGGGACUCCGGAGUCCUGCUCACCUGCCCAUUGAAAUGUCCUUGAAAAGAGAAUGUCUAGAGAAGUGGGGACCGGGAGGAGGGGCAUGUGGACCUCCAGAAGCUGUUCUGCGUCCCGGGUCCCUGCUGAGCACUGAGCCUCUUGGUGAGAAAGAGACAGACGACCGCACAGCAUGGUUGACGAUGGUGGUGAGGCGAGCCGACUCGUGGGGAAUGUGUCAUGUGGGUCAGAUAUUACAUUCCCAUAUACGUUUGGAACUAUUUCUGGGUGUUAAUUCAGUUCCGUUGUUCGUCUGUGUAUUUACGGUUCGUACCACACUCUUUGUUAUUGAAGCUAUCUCAGUAUCCGACAGGGCUAGUCCCUCCCGAGCUCUAUUCCACUCCCUACGCCAGAUCUUUUUCUUGCUUUAGGACCAGCUUAUCUAGUUAUCUAGUUUAUCUAGUUCAAAACAUCAUUCUGAAGAUUUGGGGUCUUCUGUCAAAAUUGUAGAUUGGGUCACAGAGUGUUGACAUCCUGGUAAUAUUUUUUGUCUUCCUCCCGUAGAACACGUAGGAUUUUUCCAUCUGUGCUGAUGUUCUUUUGUGUCUGUUUUGUGUUUCCCAGCACUGGUGUCUUCCGUGUUUUUACUAGAUCAUAAAGGUAAAUCUUUUUUUAACCACUUUUAAAAUGAUCUCCCUCUCAGGUCACUCUCUGUAUUUGAAUGCUGCUGUCUUUUCCUCCUUCCCUCCCUCCUUCCUUCUGCCUCUCUCUCCCCCUCCCCCCCCUUUUAUAGAGCACACUUGGGCAUGCAUACCAACUUCUUCAUUUGGAGUCAUCAAGGGCACUUAAAAGAAAUUGAACACAAAGGUCCAGGACCUUCUGUGAUGCCCUAAGGUGUUCUUUCUCCCUAGAAGAGCAUGACAAUAGGCUUCAUGAUGGAGGAACUUUUAUCUGUUUUGUUCUUUGCAGUUUUCCAAGUGCUAGAACAGUACUCAACAUAUAGUAACACUCAGUGAUUAUUUGUUGAGUGAAUGAAUGAAAAACUCAAUACAGGCCUCUCCCUAAAUCCCUUUGGAACAACAAGGUCCUUGGUUUAUGUUUGCUGGCAGGUCAAACUAACUCUGGGUAUUUUGCUAUAGAAAGUCUGUUUAGAAGAGAAGCCGUGCGUAGACUAUAAUUGUCUUCCUAUGUGUGUUACACUGACCUAUUUCUCCAUUAAAGUAUUAAUAAUACAUGCCCAAGGCUCUACUGAAAAUAAAUAGCCAUCUUCCUUUCUCUUCUUAUUAACC
rnacentral:lncRNA from 1 species